GGAAGUGAUGAGCAACCCUGUGGAGUCCCGUUUCUCUGGUACCGGACUGCAAAUCCCAGAGACUUUGAGGAGAGCAGGAAAAUGGCAUCCAGAAGCCCCGGUUAGAAACAAGCCCAAUGGGAUGUUAGGGAAGAUGCCCAACAGUCUUCCUGGACAGGUGCCAUUCAUGGAAAAUAGACCCGAUGAAGAAUGUAUUUGCAUUUGAAAGGUUGCCUAACUUUAUGCCAGCCAUGAAGUUGGUCCAAAAGAAGAUAUCACCCCGCUCCCCAAAAUCCUUGCCUCUUGUACACUAUCCUUACUACUAAUAUAUUACAUACAAUUAGCACUCAUGCUUAAUUAAAAAAAUAAAUACUUGUCUGCCUCAUACACAUGUUAACAGAGUGUAAUACAUACUGUAGGACUAGGAAA